CAAUUAUCCAAUCCCUUGUGCCAGGUAAUUUUUAAAUACACAUGUAUGUGGUUUCCCUGGAAACUGGCACAGCCCGAGAUGGCAUCAAGUAAAACUUGUCUCUGCAUUAACAUUGUAUCAGGAAUCAAGUCAAUGGCCAGUAACACAGCAGCGAGAUGGAUCUGCCCUGAGUCAGCUCAGAGAAGGCUGUCGACCUUUCCACCUCCAGCAUUCCGGAGAUAACGCAUGGCAUCUUGCAAGGUCGCCGUCAUGCCAUGUAACCGAAAGACCAUGUAAUGUGGAACACAUCUCCGGGGUUCCAGCGAGGUCAUGGAUUUACAGCUCCGUAAAAGUCUCAGCCAAACCCCGCAGAACAUGUACAGGAUUUGAGAGAGCCAGAUGUGGGAUUCACCCAGGCUACCACUUUCGGUUGUGAGAGCUAGAGUCUUCCCUAACCAGCUGGUACGUGAAGAAAUGAGUCACCUGAUUCCAUGUGAAGACCCAAUGGAAAACAGUUUGGGGGAACUGGUGAGAUAUAAUGAGGGGGGAGGGAGCCUAACCUGAGAGCUAGAGGGAGGCAUGAUGGGAGAUCCCCAGGGAAGGAGGGCAGGUUAUGAGAAGACAAGAAACCCAUGAACGUUGUGAUUUCAAGUGCACCAUCUCUUCCAGGCCAGUGACUACCGUCUCCCCUCACCAUCGUCGUGAAGGUGAGCGUUUCUGAGUCACAGCUGUUACCAGCUAGGUGACACGUAUGUCAUACUGGGGAGAACAUGAAAGAACCAGCUUCGCUGACACAAUCUGGGUCAUGGGGCUUCUGCCAAGGGGCUUCCCUGCCCCGCCCCCACUCCUUCCUGGCUUCAAAGACAGGGUAGUCACUUUCUCCCUAAUAGAAUCUGGAGACUUUAAAGGUAGGUAGUUGUGCCACUCUGUCUCCUGCCUUUGGUCAAAAGCUUCUUGAGGACAGGAAUUUUAAUCAUCCUCUUCGCUCUUGGGGAGCCUGGAACAGCGCUGGGGCACCAUUAGAGUUCAGAAAACAUUUAGCAGGAAACAGCCAGUCGCUAAGGAUACAGCCACUGGGGGUCCCAGGUUAUUCUGUUCAUUCAGUUCUUCAAAAAAUAUGUAUCAGCUGCUCUCUGUGGGACAUACACUAGUGAGCACCGCAAAUGUAACAGAUCUCAAGACAGUCCUGGGCCCCGGCCUCUGGGAUUACAGUCUAGUGAAUGAAAUCCCAAGCCUGUGUCCAUAUACACCGAAGCCCCAGCCCCUUUAAAAUUUUUUCCUGUACAGAAUUCCCCCAAGGGGAAUUUUACAAAAUUUUGAAUUUUACAGUUCAAAACUGGGUUCAUGCCGGAUAACACCGUCCAUUUAUUUUGACUCUCAUCCCUUUUAAGGAAAAGCAACCACUCCACACAAGCCAUGAGAACAAGGCCUCUUAGAAAGUUUCUGCUGCCUCUUCUGCACCAAGUAUGUACUUACGGGUGGCUUUCGCAAGCUGCAAGGCCUGCCCAGGAAAUGGAAUUUUCCUAUUGAGCCAAAAUUGUGUUUUGGCCCAAAGCUGAAGAGAGAAUGCAUCAAUGCAUCAGGAACCCCCACAUUCUAAAGUGAGCAUCUCACUCUUUUUUUUUUUUUUUUUUUAAGAUUUUAUUUAUUUAUUUUAGAGAGAGGGAGAGCAGGGGAAGGAGCAGAGGGAGAGAGACACGCAGACUGUGCUGAGCUUGGGGCUUUACACCGGGCUCGAUCCCAUGGCCCUGAGAUCAUGACCUGAGCCAAAAUCAAGGGUCAGACGCUUAACCGCCUGAGCUCCCCAGGCGCCCCCAAAGUGAGCGGCUUCAAGUAGCUAAGCAACAACCACCUCUGCACGGGGGGGGGCCGUGGGAGCAGCUCCUGCUCAGAACGGUGCCGGCCCCGCUGACUCCCACCCAACAACCCGGGCUGUGGGAGAAGUGGGUGGGGGGAGGGGGAGGCACAGACAGCCUGUAGAAAAGACGGAGUUCUGGAGGUCAGGUGAUCCCCUACUUAUGGGGAUGAGGAGAGGAGCUCCCCAUCCUAAAGCCAGGUGCGAGGGAGCUCCUAAGGGAAUAGCUGUGGCAGUGUGGGCGCUCACAGGAAGGAAAGUGGACAGCUGUUCCCGCGCCAGGUGCGCGCUGAGCUUCAGGACGCCCAGGUGGGCGUGGUCACUCCCCACGAGCGAGGCCGAGGAGCGGGCAUCCUUGGGGGGUUACUCUGAGAGUAUCAUCUGCUUUCCUUUCCCACCUACGCACCCCAACCCCAUGAGGAAGGAGACAUGGUGCUUGGCACCUCAAGAGAGGGGACACACACGGGAAGACGAACACCUGUGAUGAUGACGUCAGAGAGCCAGCAAGAGCAGCCUCUCCCUCGGAGCCUGAGAAACCGUGUUUCUCAUCCCUGGGAAGAAGACGGGGACAGACCGUGGAGCUGUUCGCAAGGCCUGCCUGUGAAGCCGCACACAAGGAAGAGGAGUGCCAGGGACCCCUCCCCGCUCAGACGCAUGGGCGUCACCAAGGCCAGUCCUCACGCCUCCUGCCUCCUGCCCGCCCACCCCAGAAGCUUGAACUGGUAGAGGCCAGGGGUGGAGGACGCUCCGCUCCAGACCCCAGCUCCUUUCCAACAGCCAGGCCCCCCGCCCUGGCCCCCACUGGAACUGGGGAGCAGGGUAGAGCCAAGAUAUAAAUCAAGUUCAAGGUUAAAGUGUUCUAAAUGAACAGGACUUGGUCUUAAAUCCCAAAGGUGUCUAGAAAGUUCAAAUUUGGCCAACAUUUCAUGAAAGGAGCCAGAGCCAAAAAAGGGGGGUAGGGGGUCCGGGCACAGCUUAACAAAAGUUAAAAGACCACUUUCUGUCCUCAACCAAUUUAGGAUUUUCAAUAAACCAGUUACAGAUGA